ACUCAAUGAGUAUUUAUAGGUAAGAGGUAAUUGUUAACAAAAAAAUCUACCAACAAAAUUGAUUUAUUCCCGUAUAUAUUAUAUACUUACUUCAAUUUUAUUUACCUUUUUAGGUGUUGCUGCUAUCUUAGAAAAAAAAAAUGUGUACUCAACGGUAUACAUAAUGGGGGCUACAUUUAUGGCUCUGUUUUUACUUCAGCUGUAAAAUGAUGAAUAGGAUCAGGUGUUACUUUGCGGAAAUUCAUACUAAUUAAAACAAAAAGUAUUACUUUGCUAAUCCGCGAAAAGAUAACAUACACUAGCUCUAGCACUGAUUGACUAGGACGUUAUCUUUUCGCGGAUUAGUAAAGUAAUAUUUUUUGUUUUAAUUACUAUAAAAUACGUGCUUUGAACUUAAACACGACACGAAUCCUGUAUUCAAAAGGAAAUUGUUAGUAUAAUUUCAGUUGAUAGUUACUCUUUUUAACAAUUUUUCUCACAAAUGUGGUAAGUAACAUGAAUAGGUAAACAUCAUUCAUAAUUAGGGAAGGAACAUGAGGAUUCUAGUCAAUGUGCAAGUUCCAAAUGUCUUAAUUACUGGCACAAGUUUGCCUUGUCUCGCGAGUUCCGCUUUGUGGAGUUUGUCUGAAUAUAAAACGUGGUUUUAGCUGUACAGCACGUCACUCAGGCUAACUCCAGCUAGAUUAAUGCUGGCGCUGAAAACCCGUUAAUUGUUAAUGCCUUCAUUAGUAGAACGUGCUAAUGUCGUAUUCGUAACUCUAUAUGUAACGCUUCUAACUUCCUCGUUUAAUUUGGCUGAGGUCAAGAAUCAGCUGGUCAUUUAUAGGUAUCUAUCUACCUAUUUCGUUAAAUAAGGCAUAGGUAAUUUUAGACCUAUGUAAUAUAAUCUCAUUAUAUGACAAUGAAACCUGCAUAAGGCGAGGCGGAGCCAGGCCGAUUUAUAAAAUGUUAAUGUCAUUUUCUAUCCAAGGAAUUGUUUGUAUCGUGUGAACCAUUUGUUUAACAUUGUUAAGAGGGAUUAAUUAAUAAUAAUUAUAUAGGGACAGCCCCAAUAAACCUACCAAUUUGGAGCGUGCUUGAGCUGAAGGAGAAAACCACCAUAAGGGUUUAUUUUGUAAGACCACGGGUACAACGCCGUCCUCAAAACGUCAAAGAACAAUAUUUCUUUGACAAGAUUGAAUGGAAGCUCGGCAUUGAUAAAACGACAGGGCUAUUAUUUAUACAAUAACUUUAUGGAAGUGUCUGUUGAGAGAGUCGCGGCUUAGCUUGGUGCAUAAUGGCAAAGAUAAUGAUGUCAAGAGGCGGAAGAAGCAAUUACGGGCUCGUCUCGUCUGCAAUCACGAAGAGAUAUUUCCGAGAAAACAACAGUUCCAUGCCAAUGGGCGGAUUUAGGACAUUAUUCCGUCACAACAUUAUUGUGGCCAGUUUUUGUCUGCAAAGGACUGUUUGUCGAGGGUAAAUAUCUUCUUAGAAGUGUGGUCAGCUUAAUCCAUUUAACUCAACGGCACUAUAUAUAUUUUUAUGAAAUAUAUCGUGAAAAAAUAAGUAAGUAAUAAUGCUGUUAAGAUUUAAUAUAAAUUGAUAUUUAGCUCAACGUAGCACUAACAUUUUUAAAUUGUAAUCGUAAAUUAAAAUUCUAAAAUCAAAUUUAUAAUAGUAGGUAAUAAGAUAGGCAAUAAAUAGAAUACAUUAAAUUACAAUGUUAAUUGGUAACAAAAUAUUAGCAGUUGAUUAUCCUGCUUGCUAUUAAUUUCAAAACGAUACCAGAUCCUAGCACAAUUUUAUACAAAUUCGUAAUAUUUUGUAGUUUUGUCGGUUUGCAUGAAUAUAUAUUACUUAUAUGAAGGUAAUCCCUUACCAACCAGUGAAAUAUUCGACAACAUACAACGAUAUGUCAAGCGAUUUACCCAAAAUUAUAGCGCUCGCGUCAAAUAAAGUCGAGUUGAGUCGCAAA